rnacentral:rRNA from 1 species
UACGGAGGGGGCAAGCGUUAUUCGGAAUCAUUGGGCGUAAAGGGCGCGUAGGCGGCUUCAUAAGUCUUGGGUGAAAGCCCUCGGCUCAACCGAGGAAUUGCCUUGGAUACUGUGAAGCUCGAGGCUGGAAGAGGGCAGUGGAAUUCCCGGUGUAGCGGUGAAAUGCGUAGAUAUCGGGGGGAACACCAGUGGCGAAGGCGGCUGCCUGGGCCAGUUCUGACGCUGAGGCGCGAAAGCGUGGGGAGCAAACAGG